rnacentral:rRNA from 1 species
CCCUUAGAUGUUCUGGGCCGCACGCGCGCUACACUGACCAGUGCAACAAGCAUCCGUCCUUGGCCGACAGGCCCGGGCAAUCUUUGAACGCUGGUCGUGAUGGGGAUAGACUUUUGCAAUUUUUGGUCUUCAACGAGGAAUUCCUAGUAAACGCAAGUCAUCAACUUGCAUUGAUUACGUCCCUGCCCUUUGUACACACCGCCCGUCGCACCUACCGAUUGAAUGGUCCGGUGAAGCCUCCGGAUUGGCGCGCACCUCGGUGCCGCCGAGAAGUUGGCUAAACCUUACCAUUUAGAGGAAGGUGAANUCGUANCA